AUUGUGUUCCAAAAUACAGCCUAUGCUGUUGCCUAUUUCAUUUUGUCAAAAUUCAACUAGCAAGUUAUGCCCGAAACGUAUCGCACCCCAAGCAGUAGUUGUCUGUACGUCAGGUGUAUGUGCAGCGCAAACUCUAUUGGCCAGCUGUAUUACUUUUAACCUUAGUUGACAUUGAAAUGUACCCGCUAGAGGCGGAGACAGUGCGUCGGUCUGUCUGUCUGUUCGUCUGUGCUGUGCUGUGCUCUAUUCUAUUCUAUUGUAUUGUGUGCUAGAAAAGGAGAACAGAACACAAAGACUGAAUCUGCAAUCGCAACUGCAUCUGCAACCAAGAAAUUCAAAUGACAAUCAGCAGCAACAAGCACGAGACUUAAACUCACUUGCGACAGUUGGCAUUCGUUAUUAAUUAAAUCAGCCGCGAGCCCCUAACACAUCAGCUGUGAGGGAAUGAGAGAGCAACAGCAGCAACGACACCAGCACCAGCCCACAUUUGACUUCUACACCAGAAGCAACAGCAACAACAACAUUUGCUUCAUCCGCUUCUUCUUAUACAAAGUGAGCAGCAGCGAGUGCUGCAAAACACCGGCCCAACAUCAGCAAACAGCAGCGACGUCGACGUCAACGUCAACGAUUUGUUGCAAUACGCCAAAGAGC
rnacentral:sRNA from 1 species